GGGUCAGUAGGUUGGUCGUGCCACCGGUACGUACUGGUCUCACUGAUUCCUCCUUCCUGAAGAACCGUAAUGCCAUUAAUUUGGUGUUGCGGGGAAACAGGACUGUUACUUUGAAAAAAUUAGAGUGUUUAAAGCAAGCUAACGCUUGAAUAAAUUAGCAUGGAGUAAUGAAAUAGGACGAUCGAUCCUAUUUUGUUGGUUUCUAGGAUUGACGUA
rnacentral:rRNA from 1 species